UCGACUGGUCGUUAAGCUGUUUCUAGGAUGGCAGUUAAAAUGGCUGCUGCAGCAUAACAGUUGUCAUAGCAACUGCUCCUAGCUGGACUGUACUACUACAGGAACAUAUAAACUGCCCCCAAAACACAGUAAAAAUGAUAAAGAUGGUAGCUAUAUGAUUGAAACAAAGAUGGGAAAGUGCUUUGUCUUCUUGCUCUCAUUUCUUUUAAUAUCAUCCAUUUUGCUGCUGUUGACCUGCCAGUUUAUUUUACCCACCAGUCAAUGGUUCAGUCCAGGCUUUUAUUUUCGCUUGGUAAGACUUUGCUGAUUGGUUAAUUUUACCUCUAUACUGAAAUGCAAUUAACCUCUUAAGAAUAGGGUCACACAGACAGGGCCGCUAUCAGGGGGGUACAGUAAGGGGCCCGGACCCUCAGGGGGGCCCACUUGGCCCCAACACUCUUUCUUGCCAGGAGGGCAGCACACUGUCACUUUAAAAUGGCAGGGGUUGCAGUUGGUAUGAGACAUGCCUGUGCGCGGCUCUCAGUUACCAGCAGGGCCUGCUAGUAGCAGCUGGCCAGUGAUGUCGGCUCACGUGUCCCUCCUCUUCCUGCCCAGUUCCUGCAAUAGAGGAGCGGAGCAGCAGGCUACACUGCACAUAGGUUUCCAGGGCUGUGGAUCAAAUCAUUCAGAGUUUGGCAAAAAGAACAAAAGAGUUGUGGAUCAUGUGAGAGGAAAUAUGUAAAUGAAUCACUGUACAAAUAGUAUAGUCUCUAAAGAUUUGAUUAUUAGAUAUAUAGUAUUAUUCUCUCAUAUGAAGAAGGGAGAGGCAUUUCCAGAAGAUCAAGUACAGCAAACUCAGAACAUGGCUGCUCUGGACAACAGUAAAAGAAAACCCUCUGAACUACAGGACUUCCUGCCCAACAAAUAGGACCCCUCAUCCAUACCAUUGAUGUCUUCUGUUGAAGCCGGUGCGGGACCGGCGGGUCCGUGACAGCACAGGUGUGUCGGAGAUUUGGCUCCGGAGGUGAGCGGACACCACUGCAUUUGGACAUUGAUGUCUUCUUGGGUGGAGGCACUGCUGCAAUUACAGUUUGUACUUCAACUCCCAAGUAGAGAAAGCACAGGAUCUGUGUGAAGAUUUCAAAGAGAGUCUGAGAUGGAACAUAGCAUGGUUGGAUGAGGGGCAGUGUGACACUCUGGGCCCUGAUAUCACGAAGAGGAGCACAGCCGAGGGACUGGUGCAGGACACCGGAGGCACCACUGGAGAGCUGGAGAUCCUGUGGUUGGGGGCAGAGUCCUUGAUAUGGCUUCACAGAAAGAAGUGGAAACAUUUUAGGAGGAGUGGCAAGUGACAGUAUCUUCAGAAAAAAGAAGGGAACAGAGAUUUGGGGGGUAUUAUGACUGCAAAGCAUCCGUCCUGCGGAAAAUCCCCCAAAAAAAGGGAAUUCAGGAACUGGGAGCAGGAGUUCCGGAAUCAUCUUCUGCCGGAGGGUCGGAGUGAGACAGGCCUUGGUGGUCCUCAUAUAUCGUCUGAGUCCGAGAGUGCUGGCGAUCAACCAGGUCCAUCUGCAGGGAGGAUGGUUCGCAUCACAACUUGACCCACUCACCAGUCCUGUCCUCAGCACCGGCUGAGAUAGAUGUGGAGGAGGAGGUGUCCCCAAUUGGACAACACCAACCACUCUCCCCAACCCUAGCUCCUCCCUCUGUCCCAAGGGAUACAAACCUGCAGGUUGUAAAAGAAAACCAAAGGCUGGCCAAGAAAAACAGGAACAUGUCGCGCGAGAUACGCAGGAUGAAUUGCACCAUGGUUGAACUCCUCCGGUCGCAAAAACAAGAAUUCCAAGCCCUGUUGGCCAAGCAAAUGGGAGAAUUUCAGUCCAUGUUGUUCCACCAUAGCCAACAACAUAUGCAGGCGAUGCCUGAUUUGAGGGUGGACGUUAUGUCUGCUAUUGCCAGCUGUCAGAGGUUGCCUGACCCCAUAAGCAGCAUCAGCAAUACCCCACCAACCCUCUGAAAUAUACGGUACUAAAUUAGUUUGCCUUAUUGAAAUGUUAAUUUCAGUUGUUGUUAUGUUUAACAUAUGUUA